GAUGAAGAACGUAGCGAAAUGCGAUACGUAAUGUGAAUUGCAAAUUCAGUGAAUCAUCGAGUCUUUGAACUCACAUUGCGCCCCCUGGUAUUCCGGGGGGCAUGCCUGUCCGAGCGUCAUUGCUGCCCUCAAGCACGGCUUGUGUGUUGGGCCCCGUCCUCCGAUCCCGGGGGACGGGCCCGAAAGGCAGCGGCGGCACCGCGUCCGGUCCUCGAGCGUAUGGGGCUUUGUCACCCGCUCUGUAGGCCCGGCCGGCGCUUGCCGAUCAACCCAAAUUUUUAUCCAGGUUGACCUCGGAUCAGGUAGGGAUACCCGCUGAACUUAAGCAUAUCAAUAAGCGGAGGA
rnacentral:misc_RNA from 1 species